rnacentral:rRNA from 1 species
UGGGGAAUUUUGCACAAUGGAGGAAACUCUGAUGCAGCGACGCCGCGUGAGUGAUGAAGAUCUUCGGAUUGUAAAACUCUGUCCUUAGUGAAGAUAAUGACAGUAACUAAGAAGCAAGCCCUGGCUAAAUACGUGCCAGUAGCCGCGGUAAUACGUAUGGGGCAAGCGUUGUCCGGAAUUAUUGGGCGUAAAGGGUACGUAGGCGGUUUAAUAAGUCCUAAUUAAAAGGCUAUGGCUCAACCAUAGUAUGGUUAGGAAACUGUUGAACUUGAGUAGAUGAGGGGAAAGUGGAAUUCCAUGUGUAGCGGUGAAAUGCGUAGAUAUAUGGAGGAACACCAAUGGCGAAGGCAACUUUCUGGAAUCAAACUGACGCUGAGGUACGAAGGCGUGGGGAGCAAACAGG